rnacentral:rRNA from 1 species
UACAGAGGGGGCAAGCGUUAUUCGGAAUUAUUGGGCGUAAAGGGCGCGUAGGCGGCCUGGCAAGUGGAAGGUGAAAUCCCUCGGCUUAACCGAGGAACUGCCUCCCAAACUGCUUGGCUUGAGACCAGGAGAGGUGAGUGGAAUUCCCAGUGUAGCGGUGAAAUGCGUAGAUAUUGGGAGGAGCACCAGUGGCGAAGGCGGCUCACUGGACUGGUACUGACGCUGAGGUGCGAAAGCGUGGGGAGCAAACAGG